rnacentral:siRNA from 1 species
ACUCGAUCCCAAGCUCAAGUAGUA